GGCUUUGUGCGACUCUAGCAGGUAGUGGAUUGAUAGUAAGGACACCAUCAAGUAGGAAAUCCUCCAUUUCUUCAGGACCCGAUGGAUAGCCAGGCUGGGGAUCUCUAGGUCCUUCUCUAGCCUGCUUCUAGUCACUCAAGUUUCUGUGGUAGAGAAUGAUGAGUUGACCAGAGAGGUGUCUAGCAAGAAGAUUUGGAGGGCUUUCCAAUUCAUGGCAGGAGAUAGCACUGAGAUCGGAC
rnacentral:lncRNA from 1 species